GACGAACGCUGGCGGCGUGCCUAAUACAUGCAAGUUGAGCGCUGAAGGUUGGUACUUGUACCAACUGGAUGAGCAGCGAACGGGUGAGUAACGCGUGGGGAAUCUGCCUUUGAGCGGGGGACAACAUUUGGAAACGAAUGCUAAUACCGCAUAAAAACUUUAAACACAAGCUUUAAGUUUGAAAGAUGCAAUUGCAUCACUCAAAGAUGAUCCCGCGUUGUAUUAGCUAGUUGGUGAGGUAAAGGCUCACCAAGGCGAUGAUACAUAGCCGACCUGAGAGGGUGAUCGGCCACAUUGGGACUGAGACACGGCCCAAACUCCUACGGGAGGCAGCAGUAGGGAAUCUUCGGCAAUGGACGAAAGUCUGACCGAGCAACGCCGCGGGAGUGAAGAAGGUUUGCGGAUCGUAAAACUCUGUUGGUAGAGAAGAACGUUGGUGAGAGUGGAAAGCUCAUCAAGUGACGGUAACUACCCAGAAAGGGACGGCUAACUACG
rnacentral:rRNA from 1 species